UGAAAGCUGGGACGUCUUUUUCUCGUAAUUUUCCAGUGGCCAACAAUAGAAUAAUUUAUAAUGUAGUUUAAAAAUUACAGAACUAGAAUUACAACGUAAGAAUUAGUAUAACUCCACAAACAAACGUUUCUGGAUUACCAGAAGCAUUUUAAGAAUUCAUAACAAAACGAAAACUAUUAUUAGGUUAAUCCAUGCAAGUUAACUUUGUAUUCGCAACAUGAAAUGUUCGCGUUUGAAUCAUGCGUUUGUUCAUCUGAGUAUACCUUGGAUGAACACGAGUUAUUCGUACAUAUAUUAAUGAAUGUGUUGAUGUAAUCAUUUUUUUACAGUAAUAGCAGGGUGUGAUAAUUCAAGAUUUUUAGUCGUACCUGACUGGUACUCCAAUGAUUAUUGUCGUGUACUGGCGUCACAAAGUCAAAGACUCUCUAAAAUGAAGUACAUAAAGUACAUACUUAGUCUUUAAAAUGAAGUACAUAAAGUACAUGUUUCUGAAAGAUAUUCAGUAACCUAAAACUAUGAGUAAGAACGAGAGGGACGACUAUAUUGCAUAUAUACAAACACUGAAAUCGACUCCAACAUUCCUUAGUCCCAUCAGUCCAAUAAUAUUUCAUUCCAAGACUUCAAAUCUGAAC